rnacentral:misc_RNA from 1 species
CGGGAAGCUCGAGGGAAAGUUCUAGAUGAACAUUUUUAGUAAAUCACCUAAUUGCAAUGAUUAACAUACUUUGGAACAAAUUAAGUAGGCUUGUGACAUUUAAUUAGCUCAACUAGAACCUUGAAAUUUUCUAUUGAACUCCCAUUAUCUAAUUUCACAGCCUCUAAUGCUUUUUCUUUUAGCCCUUCAACAUUUUUCCUUAAUACUUUCCCUUUUCCUUCAUUGAAAAAAGUACUCAAUGCACCAAUUGUUCCACUUUUAGUAAAAUUCCCACCUUCAAUUUGCAAACCAAUUUUCCAAACACUUUCCACCAUUCUACUAUUCAAUUUUUGGUCACCAAAAAAGGGCCUACAUAUCAUAGGCACACCGUAUGAUAUCCCUUCCAGAAUCGAGUUCCAUCCACAAUGCGUUACAAAAACGCCAACACUCUUAUGUGCCAAAAUUUCCAAUUGAGGCGCCCACGAAAUUAUCUUCCCAUAUUCCUUUGACCUUUCGUAAAAACCCUUAGGUAAAGUCUUGACUCCGUUGUCUCUUAAUGACCAAAUAAAUGGAAUCUUUUUAUCUUCCAACGCUUGUGCUAUCGCGAUUAUUUCAUUAGGAGGUAAUGUUGUAACCGUACCAAAACUUAGAUACACCACCGAUCUUUCCUUUUGAUUAUCAAGCCAUUCGAUACAUCCACUUUCAUCAGUAUUCGCGUCUUUAUUUGAUGAUGAUGAUGAUAUUACUAAAGGACCAAUGUUGAGUACCUUUUGGAGCUUUGAUUUGAGGUCUUUAUUGAUAAUUGGAUCUAAUUCUUCAAAGGAAUUUAAUACAACAGCAUUAGCUUUGUGUAAAUUCAAUGCCAUGUUGUGCAGCAUAGAUGGCAUUGGCCCUUUUAAACUCUCUGCUAUAACUUCAGGUGGCAUAUCACUCAUUUUCAAAGUAGAUGAAAAUCCAGGGAUGUUCAACAGUGUUUCGUCGUUCGAUCGAAUCAAAUCAGUGUACAAAUGGAUAGAUAAUGAACAUGAACCAGCAGUCCAAAAUGCAAUCCAAGGGACGUUCAUUUUGUUAGCAAAUUCACUAGAAAACCAUAAAAAUGCAUCGCUGAUAAUGCAUGAAAAUUUAACCCCUGUUUCCUCCUCUGCUUCUUUCAUUGAUGUUUCGAAAUUCGUUGGUGUUGAGUGUAUGAAGAGUUCAAUUGCUUCGCGCCCAAUAGGCGUGUCAUUGCCUUGUUUGACGCCAUCCCAAAUGUUGUAAACCUUGAUGUUUUCUUGAUUUGGAGUUCUUGAGAAAAUUGAUGUGUUGGAAUUUGAUGUGUUGAAGAAGGAAAAUAUUGUGUUGGAUGGUAAAAAUGGAGUGAUUUUUUGAGCUAGUGUUAGUAAAGGAGCUGCAUGACUUCCAAAUGGGAAUGCAAGAAGUGCAAUAUGAAGUUGAGGACUUGUCAUUCUUUUGUUGUAGUUG